AGCAGCCGCGGUAAUUCCAGCUCCAAUAGCGUAUAUUAAAGUUGUUGCAGUUAAAAAGCUCGUAGUUGAAUUUCGGGGUCAGUAGAUUGGUCGUGCCACUGGUAUGUACUGGUCUUACUGGCUCCUCCUUCCUGAUGAACCGUAAUGCCAUUAAUUUGGUGUUGCGGGGAGACUGGACUGUUACUUUGAAAAAUUAGAGUGUUUAAAGCAGGCUAACGCUUGAAUACAUUAGCAUGGAAUAAUGAAAUAGGACGUUCGAUCUUAUUUUGUUGGUUUCUAAGAUUGACGUAAUGAUUAAUAGGGAUAGUUGGGGGCAUUAGUAUUCAAUUGUCAGAGGUGAAAUUCUUGGAUUUAUUGAAGACUAACUACUGCGAAAGCAUUUGCCAAGGAUGUUU
rnacentral:sRNA from 1 species